rnacentral:tRNA from 1 species
GGGCCCAUAGUCUAAUGGUAGGACACCGCGUUCGCAGCGCGGUGGUGCGAGUUCAAAUCUCGCUGGGUCCA